rnacentral:rRNA from 1 species
UGGGGAAUUUUGGACAAUGGGCGAAAGCCUGAUCCAGCAAUGCCGCGUGUGUGAAGAAGGCCUUCGGGUUGUAAAGCACUUUUGUCCGGAAAGAAAUCCUUGGCUCUAAUACAGUCGGGGGAUGACGGUACCGGAAGAAUAAGCACCGGCUAACUACGUGCCAGCAGCCGCGGUAAUACGUAGGGUGCAAGCGUUAAUCGGAAUUACUGGGCGUAAAGCGUGCGCAGGCGGUUUGCUAAGACCGAUGUGAAAUCCCCGGGCUCAACCUGGGGAACUGCAUUGGUGACUGGCAGGCUAGAGUAUGGCAGAGGGGGGUAGAAUUCCACGUGUAGCAGUGAAAUGCGUAGAGAUGUGGAGGAAUACCGAUGGCGAAGGCAGCCCCCUGGGCCAAUACUGACGCUCAUGCACGAAAGCGUGGGGAGCAAAACAGGAUUAGAUACCCUGGUAGUCCACGCCCUAAAACGAUGUCAACUAGUUGUUGGGGAUUCAUUUCCUUAGUAACGUAGCUAACGCGUGAAGUUGACCGCCUGGGGAGUACGGUCGCAAGAUUAAAACUCAAAGGAAUUGACGGGGUCAUAGCUGUUUCCU